rnacentral:misc_RNA from 1 species
CUCUCUCUCUCUCUCUCUCUAUGCCUUCCUUAAGCUUCGCUCUCCUCCUGCGGACUGCAGCUUUCAAGCUUGAAACCAAGGAAAUGGAACACAUUGAUGAUUUGUUGAUUGCGAGCGGGGGUGGUGUUGCUCCUGGAUUUCGGUUGCCUCUGAAUGCUGUUGGAGUUAAUCCAGGAACAAAAAGAACAAGCCUAACCUAAAUGCCUGCAAGCUCUCACAAAUUCCUUUCUCUUCCAAAAUCCCUGGCACUCGGACCAUUUAUAUCAAUACCUUUGGAUACUCACAUAAUCAGGCUAGUUUUUCUCUCUUUUUGCUUGCAGCUUUAAUGGAGAAUAGGAUAAAAUUUAGAUGCUUUAUGGGUUGUGAUUCUUGUGUACGGUGAUAAGCCAGAUGCUUAAUUUUACUAAUUAGGGCUCCAACAUGUUGGGGAGGAGCUUGUUAUCUUGAUCUUGAACUCAUUUGUUCAGUCAUGGCGAUAAUUUUAGUGUUUGCAAACUAAAAGUUCAGAAGGGAAAUGCAAAGAUUGGAAUUUUCAUUGGAGCUAGCUAGGAAUUCAUGAGAGAAUGAAAUACUUUUCAGUGAUGAAACAGAGACAAAAAGAAAAAGAACUGAUCUAAUGAAGGCAAUGUGAAUAUAAAAAUCAGCAAUAUUUGUUUUUCUAUCAUUGCAAGAAGCGAUGCAAUCGUGCAAUAUGAAUAAUUCAUAAACAAAGAAACACGAAAAUAUAUCAAGAAGACAUUAAACAUAGACGUCCUGCGCUAUCUACCAUAGAAGCAAUUAUUUGUGUGUGUGUGUGAUGGCAAAUUGCACAAGUGCAUUAUUUGCUACAAGCCACAUGCUUUGGGAUAAAAUUUUCUUCUUUUCUUGAUUGCUUUCAUUUUGUAGCAACUAAGCUCCAUUCAAGAAACACAGAGAGAUUGAAAGAGAAGAAGAGAGAUUUCAAUUUCAAUUACACUCUGCCCCAUGCAUUAUAAGGAAACAAAGUUAACAAAUAUAAUGUGAGAUAAUAAAAACACUUUUGAUAAUUCUCACCUAAUUAAAAGGAAAAAUAAAAUAAAGCAUAGAUUCUCAUGUACUCACUAGUCACUAAGUAAUAAAGCAAAUUAUAGUAUCUUGAUUCAAUGGUAAACGAUGUAGGAGUUGUUGGCAUUUGCAACACUAACACCACCACCACCACCA